CUGAGUACUACACUCUCUACCCUUUGUGAACUAUUAUACCUGUUGCUUCGGCGGCGCCCGCAAGGGUGCCCGCGGUCUCAUCAGAAUCUCUGUUUUCGAACCCGACGAUACUUCUGAGUGUUCUUAGCGAACUGUCA
rnacentral:misc_RNA from 1 species